UACGUAGGGUGCAAGCGUUGUCCGGAAUUAUUGGGCGUAAAGAGCUCGUAGGCGGUCUGUCGCGUCUGCUGUGAAAACUCAGGGCUUAACCCUGAGCUUGCAGUGGGUACGGGCAGACUAGAGUGCGGUAGGGGAGACUGGAAUUCCUGGUGUAGCGGUGAAAUGCGCAGAUAUCAGGAGGAACACCGGUGGCGAAGGCGGGUCUCUGGGCCGAUACUGACGCUGGAGGAGCGAAAGCCGUGGGGGAGCAAACAGG
rnacentral:rRNA from 1 species